rnacentral:tRNA from 1 species
AGGGGCAUGGUGAAAUGGUAUCAUAACUCUCUCCAAAAGAGUCGUUCAGGGUUCGAAUCCUUGUGCCCCUGCCA